rnacentral:rRNA from 1 species
UACGUAGGGGGCUAGCGUUGUCCGGAAUCAUUGGGCGUAAAGAGCGUGUAGGCGGUCCGGUAAGUCCGCUGUGAAAGUCCAGGGCUCAACCCUGGGAUGCGGGUGGAUACUGCCGGGCUCGAGUCCGGAAGAGGCGAGUGGAAUUCCCGGUGUAGCGGUGAAAUGCGCAGAUAUCGGGAGGAACACCAAUGGCGAAGGCAGCUCGCUGGGACGUGACUGACGCUGAGACGCGAAAGCGUGGGGAGCAAACAGG